rnacentral:tRNA from 1 species
GCUGGUGUAGCUCAGUUGGCAGAGCAGCUGAUUUGUAAUCAGCAGGUCGGGGGUUCGAGUCCCUCCACCAGCUCCA